rnacentral:rRNA from 1 species
GUUUACUACAGAAAAUGACUGAGCGGCGAACGGGUGAGUAACGCGUGAGCAAUCUACCUUAGUUACAGGGAUAGCCCGAGGAAACUCGGAUUAAUACCUGAUAUUCUUUAUAUUUCGCAUGAAAUUAAAAGGAAAGGUCAGCCGAACUAAGAUGAGCUCGCGUUCUAUCAGCUAGUUGGUGAGGUAAUGGCUCACCAAGGCUUCGAUCAGUAGCUGGUCUGAGAGGAUGAUCAGCCACACUGGGACUGAGACACGGCCCAGACUCCUACGGGAGGCAGCAGUGGGGAAUUUUCCGCAAUGGGCGAAAGCCUGACGGAGCAACGCCGCGUGAGAGACGAAGGCCUCUGGGCUGUAAACCUCUUUUCUCAAGGAAGAAG